GAUCAUGGCUCAGGACGAACGCUGGCGGCGUGCCUAAUACAUGCAAGUAGAACGCUGAAGGGGAGAGCUUGCUCUUCUGGAUGAGUUGCGAACGGGUGAGUAACGCGUAGGUAACCUGCCUGGUAGCGGGGGAUAACUAUUGGAAACGAUAGCUAAUACCGCAUAACAUUGACUAUUGCAUGAUAGUCAAUUGAAAGGUGCAAAUGCACCACUACCAGAUGG
rnacentral:rRNA from 1 species